AACGCACCUUGCGCCUUUUGGUAUUCCGAAAGGCAUGCCUGUUUGAGUGUCAUUAAAUUCUCAACUUCAAAUUUUGUUACAUCUUUUUUUGAAGUUUGGAUGUUGGAGGAUUAUGCAGGCAUAUAAUGUCAGCUCCUCUUAAAUAUAUUAGCAGAACUAUGUAGGAUCAGCUUUGGUUUGAUAAUCUAUGCUAUUGCUGUGAAACAAAGUAGUUCAGCUUCGAACUGUCUUCGGACUGUCUCAUUUAGAGACAUUGCUAUAAACUUGACCUCAAAUCAGGUAGGACUACCCGCUGAACUUAA
rnacentral:misc_RNA from 1 species